GACACUAGUCGCUGUAAGCUUUUGGUUAUCCGUUGUUUCUGGUUGAUUCUUAUUAACAUGUUACUAAACUCAAACCUAAAUGCGCCCGUGCUGUUUCCAUGUGUCUAAAAGUGAACAAAAUUAAAAAAAAUAUCUUAAGCAAAAGAAAGCAAACGUUGUUUUGUUGUUGUUAUUGUUGCGCGCCUAUGUACGACUAGUGUGCGUGUGUGUGUGUGGUGAAUUUGGACUGCCACUGCCUCCCACAUCCGCCCACCCACCUCUCUCUAACCAGCGGCGUGCAAAAAGUAAAUUUAAGUGCAAAUAAAUUGCUUUGCUUAUCUCGUGUGUGCGCGCUUACUUGAUAUGGCUACACACUCAAUACAUGUGUGUGCGUUGUGCGAGUGUGUUAAUUAAUUUACAAAGCCAACCUCAGCUCUCCAGCUCCAGUGGAGUCUUCUUGUAAAUAACAUAUACAAAUGUUGUAAAUUUGUUGAUUCGCGCGUGUCACAAAAAUAAAUGCGCAGCACAGCACGCGCGUCCCACUAACAAAAAAAAAACAAAAACAAAACACCAACUGGAGCAGUGCAAGUUCUAACCCCUUGACAUACCAACAAAUCUAAACCAUACUCAAUACAAAAGAAGGCGCCUUAUACUACUUGAAAACGAAAGUUCUUUUGCAUGCACCAAAGCCAAACACACACACACACAUACAAGCAUAAGUGCAUGCAGUGGUUAAGAACAUAACGCCACUUACAAGCACCAGCAAAGAAGAGAGCGAGAAAGAGCGAGUGCUUGGCGCCGUGGACACUCUUGGCCUUGAACUUGUGCGGCGCGGGAGCGCAGCGUUCAGCCAUUUGAAAUUAGAAGACUUCACUAGCAGCAGCUGAAACUAUUUAAAAGUUGUAUAACAAAAAGAAGAAGACGACAACAGCGCUGGCGACUAUGUUGCAACUUAACAUUUAAUAUCAAAGUCAAUUGAUAUAACAAUAAUCAGGAAUUAAAGCCACACACUGCAAUUGUCUUAAGGAUAAAACUAUUGCCAUAUAUAGUUAAAUAUUUAAUAAAUUUAUAUACAACUAUUUAAAUGCUAACAAGCGCUCAUUGUUAAGCAUUUUAUUUUGGAGCAUACGCCAGCAAAGCAGUGUAAAACUUUUUGUACCUGGAAGCAAAGCAGCAACUUUAAUAAG